GAUGAACGCUGGCGGCGUGCCUAAUACAUGCAAGUCGAGCGAACAGACGAGGCGCUUGCUCCUCUGACGUGAGCGGCGGACGUGUGAGUAACACGUGUAUCACCUACCUAUAAGACUGGGAUAAUUUCGGGAAAGCGGCGCUUAUACCAUAGGAUCUAUUGCACCGCAUGGUUCGAUGGUGAGAGACGGUUUUUCGGGCUCGUCUAGAUGGAUCCGGGCCGCAUUGGCUAGUUGUUAAGGUACAGGCUUACCAAGGCAACGAUGCGUAGCCGAGCUGAGAGGGUGAUCGGCCACCUUGGAACUGAGACACGGACAAGACGCCUACGGGAGGCAGCAGUAGGGAAUCUGCGGCAAUGGGCGAAAGCUUGACGGAGCAACGCGGCGUGAGUGAUGACGGUCUUCGGAUCGGAGAAAUCUGCUAUUGGGGAAGAACAACUGUCUCAGGAAAUAUGGCCGUAUUGACGGUACUUAGUAAGAAAGCCACGGCUAACUACGUG
rnacentral:rRNA from 1 species